UCAUCCUUUUGUUUGGGGAAUUCAGUUACAAGUGACAACACUGUUGGAGGAGGGUCUAAACAUCUCUAGGUUGUGCGUCAGCAACACAGUAUUUGGAGAAGAGAAAAGGCUGAUUUAAAACUGCAGGAACCAAUACAGGCGAUCCCGCCCUCUCCUUUCAACGAGAAUCACCAUGAAAGCAGGUGGCUGGGGGUGGAGGCUGGUGGUAGAGUCUGAGGACUGAGGUGGCGGCUGGAGGUAGAGGCUGGAGGGGGCGAAGAGUGAGCCAGUGGUUUUAUUAGCAGUGCUAAUAUGCUUAGCGCUCCUGGGGCCUGGGAUCACAUAGCGGAGCAGCAGUUGUUACCGAAGCUUGAGAGCCAGUGUGUAGAGGCUGGCCAUAGAGGCCCAGCCAUGUGUGUCUAAUGAUGUCUCCCGGUGAUGACGGCACUGAUUAUGGUCCCGUGCUCUCAUCAGGCUGAGGAAUGAGGGUUGACAGCUCAUUGGUCGAUGAGUAGCCACCCUUUGCCAUGAUGGUAGCUUUGCAAACUCUUGGCCUUCUCUCAACCAGCUUCAUGAGGAAUGUUUUUACAAAAGUCUUGAAGGAGUUCCCACACAUGCUGAGCACUUGUUGGCUGCUUUUCCUUUACUCUGUGGUCCAACUCAUCCCAAACCAUCUCAAUUGGGUUGAGGUUGGGUGAUUGUGGAGGCCAGGUCAUCUGAUGCAGCACUCCAUCACUCUCCUUCUUGGUCAAAUAGCCCUUACACAGCCUGGACGUGUGUUUAGUCAUUGUCCUGUUGAAAAACAAAUGAUAGUCCCACUAAGCGCAAACCAGAUGGGAUGGCGUAUCACUGCAGAAUGCAGUGGUAGCCAUGCUGGUUAAGUGUGCCUUGAAUUCUAAAUAAAUCACAGACAUUGUCACCAGCAAAGCAACCCCACACCAUCACACCUCCUCCUUGAUGCUUCACGGUGGGAACAACACAUCCGGAGAUCAUCCGUUCACCUACUUUGCAUCUCACAAAGACAUGACGGUUGGAACAAAAAAUCUCAAAUUUGGACUCAUCAGACCAAAGGAUAGAUUUCCACCGGUCUAAUGUCCAUUGCUUGUGUUUCUUGACCCAAGCAAGUCUCUUCUUCUUAUUGGUGUCCUUUAGUAGUAGUUUCUUUGCAGCAAUUCACUCAUGAAGGGCUGAUUCACGCAGUCUCCUCUGAACAGUUGAUGUUGAGAUGUGUCUGUAAGCAUUUAUUUGGGCUGCAAUCUGAGGUGUAGUUAACUUUAAUGAACUUAUCCUCUGCAGCAGAGGUAACUCUGGGUCUUCCUUUCCUGUGGAGGUCCUCAUGACGAUCCCUACUGUAUAGCCUACAGUAACAGAACGGUAUGAGGCCUCCACUUGUGCACUGUCUGUGCCUCUGUAACAGGGUUGGUUGUGUUUCCAAUUGACACUGCAGAAACAUGUAUUUAAUGUUUAUGUAUUUCUAUUGGUUGGAGGGAAUUUAUAAAUCUCAAAUCUUGCCAGUCUGAUAUUGACAUGCUGUUACAUCUGCUCCUGCCACGCCCUCUACUGCUCAUCCUGUGUCUCCUUGACCUGCCACCACUCCCCCAGUGCUCUCUCCCUCUCCCUCUCUCUCUCUCUGUGUGAUUGUGUGGGUGGAGACAGGUGUGCUGGAGUCAGAGUAGGUCCCCAACAGCUGCAACCUGUUCCAUAAUCAAGACCUCUACAAAUACUCAGUCCUGACACUUUCACACUGACAGAUCGUAAUCUCUGCUGAGUCAAUUUCUGCCCACUCUGACUCUGGUUCCUGUCUCCAGUCCCAUGUCUCCUCAUCCUGCUACUCUGCCCUGGAUUUCCCACUCUACUUCUCCCUUGGAUACCCCUUCGGACCUGCCUACCCUGUCCCAACCCCUCUCGCUCCAGCCUCAGCCUCCGCACCUGGUUUUCUGCAACUCGCCCGAGCUUCCCCCGGCCUGCACUCCAUCUUCCCCCUGUGUUUCAAUAAAUACCUUGGUUACUUCAUCCCAGUCUCCUCGUCUGAAUCUGCUCUUGGGUUUCCCUGUUCCACUCCGCGUAACACACGCUAGGU
ensembl:lncRNA